rnacentral:rRNA from 1 species
CGGACGAUUAGCUAGUUGGCGGGGCAACGGCCCACCAAGGCGACGAUCGUUAGCUGAUGUGAGAGCAUGGUCAGCCACACGGGCACUGAGACACGGGCCCGACUCUUACGGGAGGCAGCAGUAAGGAAUAUUGGUCAAAUGGGCGCAGGGUUGAACCAGCCAUGCCGCGUGGAGGGACGAAGGCCUCUCCCGGGUCGUAAACUCCUUUUACCCCGGGACGAAAAAAGCCCCUUUUGAGGGGCACUUGACGGUACCGGGGGAAUAAGCACCGGCUAACUCCGUGCCAGCAGCCGCGGUAAUACGGAGGGGUGCGAGCGUUAUCCGGAUUCACUGGGUUUAAAGGGUGCGCAGGCGGGCUUUUAAGUCAGCGGUGAAACCCGCGGGCUCAACCCGCGGACUGCCGAUGAUACUAGGGGCCCUUGGAUGUCGCUGAGGGCAGCGGAAUGGGGCAUGUAGCGGUGAAAUGCAUAGAUAUGCCCCGGAACACCGAUUGCGGAGGCAGCUGCCUAAAGGACGAUCGACGCUGAGGCACGAAAGCGUGGGUAGCGAACAGGAUUAGAUACCCUGGUAGUCCACGCCCUAAACGAUGAUUACUCGACGUCCGCGGCAUACUGUGGGCGUCCAAGCGAAA